UAGUACACAUGGGUCGGGGAGAGCAUGUGUGGGAGAGUUUCAGGGUGGUGCGAUUGCUAUUUAAUACACAAUGAUCAGGGAGACCUGGCCGGUGAGAGGACAUUUCCCUGGAGACCUGUAGGAUUUGGGGAGCCAUCACUCAGGUAUCUACAGAAAUCGUGAUCCAGAGGCAACGAAGAACAAGUGCAAGUGUUUUGCAACGGAGGCCUUCAGGACCCAGCCCAGGUCAGCCAGGUGCUCUGGGGGCCCCUGGGCUCUCUUUUCUGCUCCCCCUUCCCCCCAAGGCCCUCGCCAGAGAGUCAUCCCGUUGAAGACCAGGCCUCUAAGAGAGAGGAGAGGUCCCUGCUCGGCAGUGUCCACUUCCUGCUCCUCAUUCUCCUGAAGGUACCCUUGUUUCUGAUUAUGCUCAGUGCCGUCCUCUGGGUCAACAGGCCUCAGUGGGCAACUUGUGGGACACAGAGUCGGCCUGAUGAAGACAAGCUGCGGCCCUCCUUGAGCAUCCAUAUCCUGUCCAGAGACACUGCCACUCAGACUAGAGGAGGAAGAACUUCUGACCCCAAACCUUCUAUCUCUUCUCACCUUAUUGCCAAAAACUGGUAAAUAAAGAGAAAAUCUUGAAAAAAAUGCAAUAAAAUAUAUCACACACACA